GUCGAGCGAACGGAUAAGGAGCUUGCUCCUUUGAAGUUAGCGGCGGACGGGUGAGUAACACGUGGGUAACCUACCUAUAAGACUGGAAUAACUUCGGGAAACCGGAGCUAAUGCCGGAUAACAUAUAGAACCGCAUGGUUCUAUAGUGAAAGAUGGUUUUGCUAUCACUUAUAGAUGGACCCGCGCCGUAUUAGCUAGUUGGUAAGGUAAUGGCUUACCAAGGCGACGAUACGUAGCCGACCUGAGAGGGUGAUCGGCCACACUGGAACUGAGACACGGUCCAGACUCCUACGGGAGGCAGCAGUAGGGAAUCUUCCGCAAUGGGCGAAAGCCUGACGGAGCAACGCCGCGUGAGUGAUGAAGGUUUUCGGAUCGUAAAACUCUGUUAUUAGGGAAGAACAAAUGCGUAAGUAACUGUGCGCAUCUUGACGGUACCUAAUCAGAAAGCCACGGCUAACUACGUGCCAGCAGCCGCGGUAAUACGUAGGUGGCAAGCGUUAUCCGGAAUUAUUGGGCGUAAAGCGCGCGUAGGCGGUUUCUUAAGUCUGAUGUGAAAGCCCACGGCUCAACCGUGGAGGGUCAUUGGAAACUGGGAAACUUGAGUGCAGAAGAGGAAAGUGGAAUUCCAUGUGUAGCGGUGAAAUGCGCAGAGAUAUGGAGGAACACCAGUGGCGAAGGCGACUUUCUGGUCUGUAACUGACGCUGAUGUGCGAAAGCGUGGGGAUCAAACAGGAUUAGAUACCCUGGUAGUCCACGCCGUAAACGAUGAGUGCUAAGUGUUAGGGGGUUUCCGCCCCUUAGUGCUGCAGCUAACGCAUUAAGCACUCCGCCUGGGGAGUACGACCGCAAGGUUGAAACUCAAAGGAAUUGACGGGGACCCGC
rnacentral:rRNA from 1 species